GACGCGGGCCUAAGAGAACGCAAAGCGCCCUCUAGGGGUUUGGCCGCGUAGCGGCCAGGGGCAUAGCCCUCUACUUUUUUAAUAAGACACUGCACGUUAAAUUCAAAAUUGUUUAAAAAUAAUCAUACACUCCUAACAUACUGUAAGAACGCCUUAUGAAUAAGCGAGCAAUAAUUUGACUACAUUUUGCAAUUUGGAACUAUAAAUUCUAGCCAGGUUUUAAAACAACGCAUGUGCCAUUAGUUUCCCUAUGCACAUACGUGUUUUUCCAGAAGAGCCAGAAUUUAUAGUUCCAAAUUGCAAAAUGCAGUCCAAUUAAACUUUGAAAAAUGUAUUUCCGCAAUUUAUUUUACUUGCUUGCAGAAUCCUUAAAUCGCACAUUUGGCAGGGUCUCUGAAUUUUUCGCAUUUAAUAUUCAUUUUUUACACCAUCUGACAGGUACUACCCCGCCAAAUUAAAUAUGAAUUCUGUCAGUUCAGUGAUCAAACGAGUGUGCCUGCCAAAAAAAGGUGAACGGUCAGCCAUUCAAUAUCGGAUCCAACUCAUAGAUGAUUCUUUGGUGGAAGGAAGUGUAGAGUUUAUGGAGAGAAGACUAAUGGCUUCGAAGAAAUCACACAUGACAAUUACCUCACAUCUCGGUUUCUCGUCAGAUAAAGAGGCUGUGGACGAAUUCAAGAGUUUAUGGAGAAAAUAUUUCUCCGAGGGAAUCUCCGUAGUAGCUUUGCUUGAGGAUGAUUUUGGAAAUCAAGGACCUGUGAUCGCGUGUAAUGUGCUGUACAAAGAGAGUAUGUCAGAAACAGAAUUCCGGACGGAUCCAAUGAGACUACUCGAUCAAACAAUGGCCGACGCGAGAAAACAUGUGGACGUACUCAAAACUUUCAACUGCGCCGAUUACAUCAACUCCGGUGGCUUUUCGGUGGCGAGCGACUUCCAGAGUCAGGGCAUCGCGACAGAACUCUUAAGGGCGCGUGCCGAAGUCUGCCGGCUCACCAACAACCCGGUCUCCGCGAACGUCUUUACCGGUCCCCGCACCCAAAGGCGGCCGCAAAAAUCGGCUUCCGAACACUUUCGGAGCUCGACCUCAGCAAGUAUCGAAUAGACGAUAAGAUCGUAUAUCCCGAAGCCGGCGGGUGGCCCACCAUCAAGUUCAUGGCCCAAAAAUAUUUUUAGGAGAAAAUAUUCGGAUUUAGGCGCGUAUGAUGUAAUUGAGUUGCAGUAUUGCCAUCAUUUUGACACCAACCGUUGAAUGUAUCAAGUCCCACAAGGGCUUUUAGGAAAUAGCCCGCCGGUGUCGCUUCAAAUGUCAAGCUUGUCAUAUAUCUGAUAAUGCCAGCUAAUGCCUAGAUCCUUUGAGUUGAUAAUUUUCUGCAGAUUCUAAUAGUUGUUAAAUUAUAAAGACGAUUUGGUACAUUUUUAUAAAAAUGAAAUGAUUAGGUAGCACCAGUUAUUAUUUAUAUCAUGCUUAAGGUGUAUGAAUAAAUUGUGU
rnacentral:lncRNA from 1 species